rnacentral:rRNA from 1 species
AGUGAACGCUGGCGGUAGGCCUAACACAUGCAAGUCGAACGGCAGCACAGUAAGAGCUUGCUCUUACGGGUGGCGAGUGGCGGACGGGUGAGGAAUACAUCGGAAUCUACUUUUUCGUGGGGGAUAACGUAGGGAAACUUACGCUAAUACCGCAUACGACCUACGGGUGAAAGCAGGGGAUCUUCGGACCUUGCGCGAUUGAAUGAGCCGAUGUCGGAUUAGCUAGUUGGCGGGGUAAAGGCCCACCAAGGCGACGAUCCGUAGCUGGUCUGAGAGGAUGAUCAGCCACACUGGAACGGAGACACGGUCCAGACUCCUACGGGAGGCAGCAGUGGGGAAUAUUGGACAAUGGGCGCAAGCCUGAUCCAGCCAUACCGCGUGGGUGAAGAAGGCCUUCGGGUUGUAAAGCCCUUUUGUUGGGAAAGAAAAGCAGCAGGUUAAUACCCCGCUGUUCUGACGGAACCCAAAGAAUAAGCACCGGCUAACUUCGU